CUUGAGCUACUUCAGACAAACAUCAGAGACUCUAGAGACUUUCUAUCUACUGAUCUAGAUGGGCUCCAAAUUACUGUGAGGGGGAUCUUGUCCCAGCUUGAUGCCAUCAGAACUCAACUUCAGUCUAGGCCCUUUGCAUCUAGUGAGCCUAUCUUUGUUCAGCCCAUUGCUUUUCAUCCUCCUGCAUCCUCUUCUCAGACC
rnacentral:lncRNA from 1 species